rnacentral:rRNA from 1 species
AUUGAACGCUGGCGGCAGGCCUAACACAUGCAAGUCGAACGAGUGGCGGACGGGUGAGUAAUGUCUGGGAAACUGCCUGAUGGAGGGGGAUAACUACUGGAAACGGUAGCUAAUACCGCAUACCAUCAGAUGUGCCCAGAUGGGCUUAGCUAGUUGGUGGGGUAACGGCUCACCAAGGCGACGAUCCCUAGCUGGUCUGAGAGGAGGACCAGCCACACUGGAACUAGGACACGGUCAAGACUCCUACGGGAGGAAGCAGUGGGGAAUAUUGCACAAGUGGCGCAAGCCUGAUGCAGCCAUGCCGCGUGGAUGAAGAAGGCCUUCGGGUUGUAAAGUACUUUCAGCGGGGAGGAGUUACCCGAAGAAGAAGCACCGGCUAACUCCGUGACAGCAGCCGCGGUAAUAC